UACGAAGGGGGCGAGCGUUGUUCGGAAUUACUGGGCGUAAAGGGCGCGUAGGCGGCGAUCCGAGUCAGAUGUGAAAGUCCUGGGCUUAACCUGGGGACUGCAUUUGAUACUGGAUUGCUUGAAUUCGGGAGAGGAUAGCGGAAUUCCCAGUGUAGAGGUGAAAUUCGUAGAUAUUGGGAAGAACACCGGUGGCGAAGGCGGCUAUCUGGACCGACAUUGACGCUGAGGCGCGAAAGCGUGGGGAGCAAACGGG
rnacentral:rRNA from 1 species